rnacentral:ncRNA from 1 species
GGAAUUGGUUCGCUAUCAGCGCGAUUAAAAAGGGAAGGGAGUGAAAGUCUCCCACUGUCCCGCAGCUGUGAGCUCCAUUAUGCCUCAAGCGAAGACCAUUGCCGGUAUCCCCGGCGAGAAGGUGCUUGAAGAGCGGAGUGAAGUCAGAAGACCUGCCUUUUCC